rnacentral:snoRNA from 1 species
UUCAAGUGAUAAUUACCUGAGGUCAACAUUAUAAAUGCUUAAGAUGUAAUUUUACAAUGCCCCCGCAAGCGAGGGCUUGGCCGAGCUUAAUGAGGCCAGGUGCGACGCGGGGGCGACAGCCCGGCCUUAGCGAGGUCCCCUCGGGAGGCGCCUUCCGCGUCACGGAGUGCCGUGACCGGGGGUAACCCUGGCCGGGCACAGGCCCGUCUGGGUUAGCCCGCCCAAUUUUGCCGAGGGCUUAGAUGAGGGCGGGUGUUACGGGCGGGCCACAGAUAA